rnacentral:snRNA from 1 species
GUGCUCCCAGCGUCAGCACAUAUACUAAAAUUGGAACAAUAUUGAGAAGAUUAGCAUGGCCCCUGCACAAGGAUGACACACAAAUUCGUGAAGCGUUCCAUAUUUUU